rnacentral:rRNA from 1 species
UGGGGAAUUUUGGACAAUGGGCGCAAGCCUGAUCCAGCAAUGCCGCGUGCAGGAUGAAGGCCUUCGGGUUGUAAACUGCUUUUGUACGGAGCGAAAAGGUCUGCCCUAAUACGGUGGGCUCAUGACGGUACCGUAAGAAUAAUCACCGGCUAACUACGUGCCAGCAGCCGCGGUAAUACGUAGGGUGCGAGCGUUAAUCGGAAUUACUGGGCGUAAAGCGUGCGCAGGCGGUUAUAUAAGACAGAGGUGAAAUCCCCGGGCGCAACCUGGGACGUGCAUUUGUGAAUGUAUAGCUAGAGUACGGUAGAGGGGGAUGAAAUACCGCGUGUAGCAGUGAAAUGCGUAGAUAUGCGGAGGAACACCGAUGGCGAAGGCAAUCCCCUGGACCUGUACUGACGCUCAUGCACGAAAGCGUGGGGAGCAAACA